AUACGAGCGAUUGGCAAACUAACACAUAAAAACCCAUCCCCACAUAGAGUAAAAUUAGCGUGUUGCUAUUAUGAAACCAAAAUCGGUUAAAAUCUGCCAAGCGUACAUUUUGAUGUUAAGAGCACCCAAAAAAGGGGAAAGUAAAUGCAGCGUGCAACAAGAGCUGUCAAACGGGCCACGCGGAACAGAUCCGCCAUCUCGUUCCAAGUACCGUCGUGAAUAGACGGAGAAAAGUGCCUUCAAAAUCGGGAAGUGGUGUAUUGCGUGCGAAAAAAAAAAACCCGGUCUUACCAGCCGAAGAAGCCCGAGGAUCGAGUCCAGCAUCAGCACCAGCAGGAGCUGCUACGCUGCCAACAAAGGAAAACCCGGCCACGCCACGUGCAUUCUUUGCACGGAAUCCAGCCAGCAAAGCAUAGCGCAGCCCAUUGUGAGGAAGCUCGAUUCCCCGGUCAGGAGCUCAAGGAAGAGAAGGCAAGCGUCAGGAAAGGGUCGCAGAGGCGGCCCUUUUUCCCCCUUUUAUUCUUCAUAGUGCUGGAUUCCAAGGCGGUUUCGGGCACUGCUCCGGUGGCAUAAAUUCCGGCGCACAUCCCCAUUGGCCCGAGAGCCGACAGUCGAAGGAAAAAAUCAGCUGCCCCCUGGUAGUUCCCAGGAGGCGCCGCAGGCGUAGGGCAUUGGCACGCGAGCCGAACAACCCAGACGAAGAUCAGCAGCCCCCUGGUAGACCCCAGGAGGCGCCGUAGGCGAAGGGCCAGAAUUCAUGCAGUGCUGCCAAUCGGUACUCUGAAUCGCCGAGCAGCACCACAAUAACUCGGACGCCCGGAACUCUGCCGUGAAGAAAAGUGGAGGUCUUCCGGCAGAGAGGGUCCACGGCCGAGCAGCAGCAGCAGCAUCAAGGUGCCACCAAUCGGCUCCGGUCUUUGGACGGCCGAGUAGCAGCAGCGGCGCCAAGGUGCCACCAAUCGGCCCCAGGCUUAGGGCGGCCGAAACAGCAGCAGCGGCAUCAAGGUGCUACCAAUCGGCCCAAGGCUUAGGGCGGCCGAAACAGCAGCAGCGGCAUCAAGGUGCCACCUACCGGCCCCGGUCGUAGGGCGGCCAAAUAACAGAAUAGGCAAGAGGUGCCAUCCGAUCGGCGCUCUAUCAAAAGGCGGCGGACGCAUGCAGGGCAGGCGAGGUGCCGUACGAGAGGGAUCCAUUCGGCGAGAAUGCGGUGAGUACACGCUAAUAGGGGAAUGUGGGGUGUGUUUUGCCAAAAUUCAUUGAAGCCAUUAUUUUUCAUUCAUGUGGCAUCGCCCACGAAUAGCCUCUUCUACAAAUGGCGCCCAACAAAAACGAACCGCUUAAGUUUUGU